AAAAUGUUGCAGUAGCCACCAGGCACAAUGGGGGCAUGCAUCUUUUUUGUUCCAUUUUCACAGUGCAGCCUUCCUAGCCGGCUCUCUGGCUUCCUCUAGAAUGGCCUCGGGACAAAGGGACCAAGCUUUGUUGGAUCUGAGGGAUGGAUGUCUGAGAGGCCUUCCGUGUCUGCUGACACUUCCCAGGGACUCUGGGCAGGGGAAAGACAGCACUAGCUGCUGUCCGUUGGGGAGCAGACAGAGGGCUGUGGGUGGCGGUUGCACUUUUCCAGAGUUCUCUGUAACACCCCAAGAACCCCUGUGUAUUAUCCUGCAGGGAGGUCUUCAACACUACAAUGAAGAGGUCUUUACACUACUCAUUCUUGUGAGACCUGGAAGAAGUAUUCAAUAACAUUCUCUGUAUAUUUAAUAGUCUUAAGUCAAUGUGAGAAUUAUCUUUAAUCUGAGGGGAAUCUGGAGUUGAAUGGGGCCCUGCCUCAGCCCUUAGCAUGGGGCUGCUGUUUGGGUCAGAGCCAAACUAUUAAUGGGGGCACAGUGUCAGCAAAGUGAAUACAGCCAGAUGCUCACAGACUGAAAAGCCCAUGAGAAGUUCUGGUCAGGUGUGAAGAAGAUGGAUUUAUAUGCAGAAGCAAAAGAGGUGUGUCUUGUCUUUAAGAGGUUUUUAUUGCAAUGUGUCAUUAUGAUUUUGUGGUUAGGUCUAAAAUUUGAGGAAGGAAGUAUAUACCAUCUCUUCGGGCAACCCCCUCCCCAGAAGAUCUUCUUGGGAGUGAGCAAUGGCAUGGGGUGCCAUAGGUGGGGAGCCAGCUGUGCUCUGAGGGAACAGUGUGGCCCUGGGAGGCAUUAGGCUUGGGGCCAUUCUUUGAAAUGAGAUGUGACUUAAUGUUGCCAAAGAAAUGGGAGCUGAGGUAAUGGGUGUCUCUUAUUAUUAUUAUUAUUAUUAUUAUUAUUAUUAUUAUUUUUAAGAUUGUAUUUAUUUAUUUGAGAGAAAGAGAGAGAGCAUGUAAGAGAGUGCAAGCAAGGGGAGCAGCAGAAGGAGAGAGAGAAGCAGGCUUCCCACUGAGCAUGAAGCCCCCUGUGGGGCUCAAUCCCAGGACACUGGGACCACGACCUGAGUUGAAGGCAGAUGCUUAACCAACUGAACCACCCAGCGUCCCAUGAGUGUCUCUCCUGAGAAGAGGCCUGUAAGUCCAGAACUUGACUCACCAUGUUCCCUCCUUCCUGUCACAGAGACACUGUGACACCCUGGCACUCCUGGGGGGAUCUUCCAUCAUCCUGCUCCCCAAUGAUGGUGACAUUGAGCAAAGCCUCGCUGAUCCAAGACAGGCAAGUGGCACGUGCCACAAACAGAUAAACCUGGGCUGAUGCUAGACACUGAGUUUUGGGUUUAUUGAUUACCAGUCUAUCCUGAUGGAUACAGUUGACAGCCAGCCCUACUUUCUAACAGCCACAUUUUACAUAUGUCCCGCGAAGCCUCAUAAACAUGGCGGCUAGGAGUCCUAUUCCAUCUGACAGACCAGGAAGCGGAUGCCUUGAGAGAGGAAGUCACAUAGCUGACCCUGAAACUGGCACCUCAAACACCCACCACUCCACAGGCUGAGCGGCUUAUAAACAACAGAAAUUUAUUUCUCACAGUUCUGGAGGCUGUAAGUCCAAGAUCAGCAUGUCAGUGUGGUCAGGUUCUGGGAGGACCUUCUUCCGGGUUGCAGACUGCCAUCUUAUCAUGUCCUCAUGGCAGAGGGAGGGCAAGAGAGCUCUUCUAAGGGCAGUAAUCCCAUUCAUGAGGGUUCUACCUGCCUGACAUAAUCAUCUCCCAGAGGGCCCACUUCCUGACACCAUCCCACUGGGAUUAGUGUUUCGACAUAUGAAUUUAGGGGUUGGGGAAGUAAACAUUUAGUCCAUAAUAGUGACAUCCAGAAGAAAAUGGCUAGCCAAAUGGAGACUAUGGCAAAGAAGAGACCAUGUCCCCCCCUUUCAGUGGGGGUGGCUGCUAUUCUGCUCAGCCGCCUCAGGUGGGAAGAUGACCCAGUGUUGCCAGAUCAUCCCAUUUCCAAGAGAACUUGGAACAUACAGAUUUUUUAUGUGAAAGGCGAACUCCUGAUUUUAAAAUCUUGGCAAAUAAUGAAAAAACUGAAAAUGCAUGUGUGCCAAGCAAAACACAUCUCCAGACUGAAUGUGGCCCACAAGCCUCCAGGCUGUAACCUCUGGAAAGAUCUAGAAUCAUUUUAUUGCUUGGGGCAUGUUACUGGGGGCAGAAACACGAAGUACGUCUGGAAAUGCUCUCACUCGCCUGACAUGUGGGUGGAAUCAGUUGCCAUCUGGACCAUGGCCUCUUGGAACCACCACCUGCUGCAAGGUAUCUGACAUUCCAUACCUAGGGACUUAGCUCUUCUUUGGGCAUUAUCUCCUGGUUAAAAAUAGAUUAAUCUUGACUGCCUUCUCAAUAAUUCUUUGCUUGGUAAAAAACAAUAAGCCUGAAGACAAGUCCUUGAAAUAAGUUCAGUGAGUGGGUACGGUGGCAAGAUGGCUCCCUGGAUGGAGCGGGGAGGAUAGGGAACUUGAGGUUGGGUACAUCCAGAAGCUAAUGUGGCCUACUUCAUGGAUGCCAUUCUGGCCCACCUGGUACCCAAAGUUGGCCUCCAAAACAGGAUCCCCAAUUCCCUGUAAUGCCUGAGAAAGAUCAGCAAGCCUUGAUAGAGACUUCAGCUGGCUCAAAGGAGCAGUUGAUGCAGAACCCCUCAAAUUCAGGUCUCUUAAAAGCAUGCUGAAUUUCCAUCUGUGGCUUUUUGUACAACAAUGACUUUUCCUCCCCGACUCCCACCUGUUCAACUUAUUGAUUUCAGGUCAAUUCUGGGAAAAGAGUCUCAUAUACACUCUAAGCAACUGAAUAUACAAAUGGAUAAUGGCCAGACCAUAUAUAAGACCCACAAUUUGCAGCAACCAGCACAGGAAGCCAAACAACAGCUCCUAUAGCAACUUGACUCCAAAUCGUUAGGACUUGAUUAAUAGAUUAAUAGCUGAUAGUUUCCCUAAUUCUUGUCCCUACUUCCAACUUAGGAUCCACAAGAGAAAGCCAAAUGUGCACCCCUAAUCAAUGACAUAGGUCACCAUUCAUACACACUAGCCUACUACAGCUUCUCCCGCCAACAGCCUCCAACUGGGGCACACCUGGAGCCUUCCUUCUUUUCCAUCAACACUCUCCCAUGCCCCACCCUACCCAUUUCUGCUGAUGGUGGUUGAUUCCCUUGCUAGAGCAAGCUCCAAAUAAAUAGCCUCUGCUCAUUCUCACUGGGUGAUUUGCUCCUUUCCAGAGCUCACACACAUUCACACACACAGUUUGGUUGGAAGUUGGGGUUGCCCCUAGUCAGGCCCAAUGGUCAACAUGGUGGCUUAAAAUACAUCUCCAUAUACACACCAACUCCUCUGCAGAACAGACUCGGAGGAGGAAGCAAUUCUGAAGGGAUUGGUGGACUUGUCUCUCCAGAUGUAGGGUAAAGAGGUCCAAGGGAUGUUUGAAAUCAUUGUGUUUUGACCAAAAACUUCAUUAACCUGGAGACAAUGGAGCAAUUGUCUUGUGGCAGACAAAGCAAAAUGCUCUAGACUUUGCCAAGCAGAGCUGCUUGAGUGGACUGGGCACAGGUCCCCACAGCAAUGCUGUCAGUGGAGAGAGCCACAGUGGCCACUGAACGAGAUGGGUGGGACCCACACACAGGCAGCCCUGUCACCUCUUCACCACCAGAAUCUGUCAGGAAGGCAACAAGCAUCUCAUUCUUUGAAUCUAUGAAAAUGAAUGAACUUUCCACCCUCAACAAGUCACCAGACCUACAUUAGGCCCAACUAAAAGAGAUACACUUUGGGAAGGGGACAGAAUUUUCUAAUCUAAGAACAAAUGUCAUGGAUGGAGGGCUUUAAUUACAUUGUACCUGCAUUUUGCAGGGAGAGGCAGUUGGAAAUUAAAGAAGUAGAAAUUUAUAAUACUAAUUAAAAAGAGAACUUGGCUUGUAUUCCUGGCUCCCUCUCUCACCAGUGUCUGAUAUUUUAAAAGGUUCAGAAGAAUUAGUUUUUCCUCCAGACAUAACUCUACAAAGAGAGCAUUUAGAAGCGCUGUUUGUAGCUCAGCAAAUUAGGAGAGGGGGGAAAGGGAGACACUACACUGGAGCCCCCUCCCCAUCCUGGCACAGGAAUGGGAAGAGAAGGUGCUAAAGUAUCUUCAUUCUUCCUUAAGAACAUCUGCCAAUGACUUAAACCAAGGUCUCAAUUCUGGUCCUGUUAAUUAGUCUGACCUCAUGGAAUCUACCAGAAGAAAAGCAGUCUGGAAAGCAGCUCUGCCUCUGUCUCUACCGCUUCUGUGUCAUCACGUGACACAGCAGUUGCUAUGGAGAUUAUCAGUCGUGAGUGGAUUGUCCACAAGUUGAACUUGCAUCUGACAAGUCAAAUUUGUCACUUUGGGGGAAAAGUAAAGAGGCUUACUAUUUUUUGUUGUUGUUCUUAAAGAGAUUUCCUUGGCUCCUGACAAUGCCCUCUUCCCCUUUCCAGCUUGGUAGGCUAUUUUCCACGUUGUGGUCCUGAACUAAAGAAAAGUUGUUUUAUUCUCUCAUGUUCUAUAGCAUCUAGAAAGAAUCUACAGAGUUGGCACCAAUGGCCCUCCGUGAUGAUUUCUGUAUAACAUAAAAUGCACCCUGUGAUUCAACUUCAGAACAGGUCUCUGUUUUUUCUGUGAUGGGAAUGGUAUGCCAGUGACUGGCUUGCUCUCCAGCUAGUGGAUCUCAUGUCCUUCACUGGUAUGAAUGCCCUCCCACCACACACUGCUGCUCCUGUGUGUGCUUGCAUGUGUGUAUGCACAUGAGUGUAUGUGUAUUUUGCCCUGUUGCUCUUUGUCCUUCAGCAGGUAAUGACUUUCAUGGACAGGCUUUAUCGGAUUAAAAGUGAAACAGCCAUUUGGUAAAGGCCACCCCAUCAAGCCAACUGAUGACAGGGGACUGGGUUGGAGCCAUGGAAAGAGGAGAGAGGCAGGCUCAGCACAGCUUUAGUGGGAGGGUAGGGAAGGAAGCUUCUACACUGGAUGAGCCUGCCUUUCGUCAUCCCCAAUGUCCUUGUUUUGCCUUAUUUCUUCUUUGGUUCAGCUCCUAACCAGGGCCUAACUUUAUAGGAACCUUUAGAAGCAGUAGCCCACCUAUGAUGGAUAACAUGGCAUUUGAAGGGCUCCCAAGUUUGAGUGCUGUAGCUUGGUGUGUGGGUGCCGUUGUCAGGCCUGGCCAACAACUGUCAAGGCCCUGGUCUCAGAUACAUGCCCCUGCCUCUUUGAAAUCUUCCUAAUCCCCCAGAUGAGCCUGAACUGGGAAGCUGGGGCCAGGGCCUCAUUCCCAGACAGAACCAGAAGAAGGCCUCAACGUAGAGAGAUUGGGGUCUGAACCGGGCAGUG
rnacentral:lncRNA from 1 species